rnacentral:rRNA from 1 species
GAAUCAAUUUGUUGGUCGUGCCUCGGUACGUACUGGUAUUAUUGGUUUCUACCUUCUGAAGAACCUUGAUGUCAUUAAUUUGGUGUCUUGGGGAAUCAGGACUGUUACUUUGAAAAAAUUAGAGUGUUUAAAGCAAGCAUACGCUUGAAUACAUUAGCAUGGAAUAAUGAAAUAGGACGUUUGAUUCUAUUUUGUUGGUUUCUAGGAUCGACGUAAUGAUUAAUAGGGAUAGUUGGG